AGUCGAUGGGAAACAGGUUAAUAUUCCUGUACUUGGUGUUACUGCGAAGGGGGGACGGAGAAGGCUAUGUUGGCCGGGCGACGGUUGUCCCGGUUUAAGCGUGUAGGCUGGUUUUCCAGGCAAAUCCGGAAAAUCAAGGCUGAGGCGUGAUGACGAGGCACUACGGUGCUGAAGCAACAAAUGCCCUGCUUCCAGGAAAAGCCUCUAAGCAUCAGGUAACAUCAAAUCGUACCCCAAACCGACACAGGUGGUCAGGUAGAGAAUACCAAGGCGCUUGAGAGAACUCGGGUGAAGGAACUAGGCAAAAUGGUGCCGUAACU
rnacentral:rRNA from 1 species